CAGAACGGAGAAAGCCUUUGGUCAUGAGAUACUUGUGAGAAAGAGAGCCUUGUAUGGAAGAUUCCCCUGAAUGCCUACAGUAUUCUACAUCUUAAAAAAAUAUAUUGUGGACGCUGCAGCCAUACAAAGGGGAGGAGGAGUGGGAGAUGGGGAUUUACAGUCUCACAUAGACACAACGGGGAGGUUAAGACAAGCACAGUCAUAGUCUGUAAAACUGAUUGGCUCGCUGGGAUCAGUCAUCCUCAUCAUCCUCUUCGUCUUCUGGGUCUUCCUCUCCUUCAUCCUCUAGAUUUCGUUUUCUCUUCUCCCCUCGUGGAAGGUCAUCAUCAGCUUCAUCAUCUUCUUCAUCCUCACCAUCUUCCUCCUCAUCUUCCUCCUCGUCAUCUACUCCAUCCUCCUCCUCUUCACCUUCCAGAUCAUCAUCUUCAUCAUCUUCUUCAUCAAUGACUUCUUCAUCCAAGUCAUCUUCCUCAUCAUCAUCCUCCUCUUCCUCACCUUCCCCAUUCUCAUACUCGUCUUCCAGUCCAUCCCCAUCUGCCUCAGGGUCUGAGUCGGGGGCUUCCUGCUCAUCAGCAUCAAAUCCAUCUAGGUAUGUGAGCUGGGGAAGAAGGGUGAACACACUCUCCCGGUAGUUGAUGAGCAUCGUCACCUCGCAGUUGAAGAGGUCCAGACUAUGCAGGUUUGGCAACUUUUUCAAGGGUUCCAGGGUAUUGAUGUCUUUGAUCUUGUUGCCACUUAGAUUCAAGUGUGUCAGGUUAGGAGUUCUCUCUGCUAGAACUUCAAGGCCACCAGAAAUCCGGUUAUCACUCAGCUCCAGCUUUCGGAGCUUGUUAAGUUUGGGGAGAUUGGAGAUGGACAGCAGGUUGACGUUGAUCAUGCUGAGGAACUCCAGGUUCUCAAAAUCUGAAGAGAGCCCAACGAUCUUCCCAUCAUCUGAACGGCAGUUAUCAAGGACCAGCUCUUUCACCUCUCCAGGCUUCUUGUUGCGCAGCUCCAGCGUGAGCCGCUUUUUCAUCUCCAUCCUCCCACCGCCGCCGUGCCGGCCUGAGCCGAGCCGAACCGAGCAGAGCUAAAAGCGAGCCCGCCGGAGCCGAGCCGAGCCGAGCCCGCCGGAGCCCGCGCGCCGCCGCCGCCGCCGCUUAUAUAGAGGAAGGCGCCAACGGCAACAAAGGCGGCGCGCCACGCGCCCCCUGGCGGCUCCGCGCCCCUCCGCGCCGCGCCGCCCCGGACCCCGCCGCGCC
rnacentral:lncRNA from 1 species